GACUACAACUCCCAGCAGGUCUUGCUGCUAGUACUACUGCGGCUUCAUCGCCCCGGAGCUGCAAAGGCUGCUGGGAGUUGAAGUUUU
rnacentral:miRNA from 1 species